UACGAAGGGUGCUAGCGUUGCUCGGAAUCACUGGGCGUAAAGCGCACGUAGGCGGAUUCUUAAGUCAGGGGUGAAAUCCCGGAGCUCAACUCCGGAACUGCCUUUGAUACUGAGAAUCUUGAGUUCGGGAGAGGUGAGUGGAACUGCGAGUGUAGAGGUGAAAUUCGUAGAUAUGCGCAAGAACACCAGUGGCGAAGGCGACUUCCGGGCCUGUUCUUGACGCUGAGGCGCGAAAGCUAGGGGAGCAAACGGG
rnacentral:rRNA from 1 species